rnacentral:rRNA from 1 species
AGCUCUUUCACGUGGAUUCAGGAACACUUUGCCAAUUGCCCUACGGAUGCCACUGAUGAUGUUAUCCAGAUACAUGCUCGUGUCUAUAUGUGGUACGUUGUCUCGAGGACUUCGUUUCCGGACUCCACGGGCAAGAACGCUCCAUGGAUGUGGCUGAAGGCAUUGACCGUCUUCGAUAGCAAAUGGAGCUGGGGUUCAGCGACUCUUGCCUACAUGUACCGACAGAUAGUUGGUUUGUUUUGUUAUCAACUCAUUUCUUCAUUAGCAAUGCAACCUUGCUGUCAAGUUAACAUUGUUUUCUUUCAUAUGUAG